rnacentral:tRNA from 1 species
GUGGCCAUAGCUCAGCUGGUUAGAGCAUCGGUUUGUGGUACCGAGGGUCGUGGGUUCGAGCCCCAUUGGCCACC